rnacentral:rRNA from 1 species
UACGUAGGGGGCAAGCGUUGUCCGGAUUUACUGGGCGUAAAGAGCGCGUAGGCGGCGAGUUAAGCGUGCCUUGAAAGCCCCCGGCUCAACCGGGGAAGGUGGGUGCGAACUGGCUUUCUUGAGGGCGAUAGAGGGGGGCGGAAUUCCUAGUGUAGCGGUGAAAUGCGCAGAUAUUAGGAGGAACACCGGUGGCGAAGGCGCCACUCUGGGCCGAAACUGACGCUGAGGAGCGAAAGCAUGGGUAGCAAACAGG